GGGCGUAAGGGCUCGCAGGCGGUUUCCUUAAGUCCUGAUGUGAAAGCCCCCGGCUCCAACCGGGGAGGGUCAUUGGAAACUGGGGAACUUGAGUGCAGAAGAGGAGAGUGGAAUUCCACGUGUAGCGGUGAAAUGCGUAGAGAUGUGGAGGAACACCAGUGGCGAAGGCGACUCUCUGGUCUGUAACUGACGCUGAGGAGCGAAAGCGUGGGGAGCGAACAGGAUUAGAUACCCCCGGUAGUCC
rnacentral:rRNA from 1 species